rnacentral:rRNA from 1 species
GUCUAUGGCCAUACCACCCUGAACAUGCCCAAUCUCAUCUAUCUCGAAAGCUAAGCAGGGUCUGGCCUGGUUAGUACUUGGAUGGGAGAAGAUGACCAGUUUACGUUACAUG